rnacentral:rRNA from 1 species
GGGGAAUAUUGCACAAUGGAGGAAACUCUGAUGCAGCGACGCCGCGUGAACGAUGAAGGCUUUCGGGUCGUAAAGUUCUGUCCUAGGGGACGAUAAUGACGGUACCCUAGGAGGAAGCCCCGGCUAACUACGUGCCAGCAGCCGCGGUAAUACGUAGGGGGCAAGCGUUGUCCGGAUUUAUUGGGCGUAAAGGGUUCGCAGGCGGCCUUUUAAGUCAGGUGUGAAAGACUACAGCUCAACUGUGGUAAGCACUUGAAACUGGAAGGCUUGAGUUAAGGAGAGGAAAGUGGAAUUCCUAGUGUAGCGGUGAAAUGCGUAGAUAUUAGGAGGAAUACCAGUGGCGAAGGCGACUUUCUGGACUUAUACUGACGCUGAGGAACGAAAGCGUGGGGAGCAAAC